UGAUGAAAGGAACCUCCUUAGUAGUUUUCGGGUCUGUGGAACGUUCACUGGAGUUGGCCUGCAACAAGAAAACAUAACAUGAGAAUUCUAGAAACAAGGAAAGAAAGUGAAUGAGCAUUUGAAAUUAAGUGCUUACCAUAACAAGAGAGAAGGUAUGAAACUUAAAUAAGAAGAUUGGAUUUGGGAAAGGAAGAUCACGGACACCUUGGAUUCGGGAAAGGAAGAUCACGAACACCUGAAAGAAGAAAAAGAGCACAAGCAAUAGGAGCCAUUCAAAUAAAAAGGGUAAAAGAAGAACGGAGAAAUGUGAAAGAGGAGGCCAUUAGGUCGGUUCCCCUAAGGGUUGACCCGUAUGAUUUAGCCACCUAAGGAGCUCUCCCCUCUUACAUUUAACUUCUCCUUACUCGUUGAAUCAACUGAUUGGAAUGAAUGCUACUUCACCGGAAUAUCCGAGCCAAGAUCCUUGUUAAGGUGAAAUGGCUCGGAAUAAAUUCUUCCUCCUUACGAUGUUGUCCUUUCUUUCAAAAUAUCCGAGCCAAUGACCUUGUUAAGGUGAAAUAGCUUGGAAUAAAUUCUUCCUCCUUGCGGGGUUGUCCUUUCUUUCAGAAUACCCGAGCCAAGGACCUUGUUAAGGUGAAAUGGCUCGGAAUAAAUUCCUUCUCCUUGCGAUGUUCCUUUCUUCCAGAAUAUCCGAGCCAAUGACCUUGUUAAGGUGAAAUGGCUCAGAAUAGAUCCUUCUUCCUUGCGGUGUUCCUUUCUUCCAGAAUAUCCGAGCCAAUGACCUUGUUAAGGUGAAAUGGCUCGGAAUAGAUCCUUCCUCCUUGCGGUGUUCCCUUUCUUCCAGAAUAUCCGAGCCAAUGACCUUGUUAAGGUGAAAUGGCUCGGAAUAAAUCCUUCCUCCUUGCGGUGUUGUCCUUUCUUUGAGAAUAUCCGAGCCAAGAUCCUUGUUAAGGUGAAAUGGCUCGGAAUAGAGGUUCCUCCUUGCAGUGUUGCUUUCUCUUUG
rnacentral:lncRNA from 1 species